CUGCGGUCUCACUGCGCCGAGGCCGGGCGCCCACCCCCGCUCCCCGCCGCUGCCCCCGGGGGGCCGAGUGCGCGAGCGGUGCGCGGCUCCGGCCGCGUCCGCCGUCCCCGGCCCACAUCCCAACCGAGCCUGAGCUCCGCGACCUUGGACACCCGGUUGACCUCUGUGAGGCCUGUUUGCAAAGUGGGGCUAGUGGCACCCGCCGCCCUGACGUGUCGCGACGGUCGCCUAGGACGUGGGAAAGGGCCGUGCGGACCCAGGAGGUUUACGCCAGCGACGUUUUGCCACCAUGGAAGGGGUCUUCGUCGUCUUUGCUGCUCGGGCCAGCAGGGUUAGGGCUCAUCAGGGUUCCUGGCAAUCCUGCCACAGAGCGUUUGCCUUGGAAGGGAGGGUAGGAGAGUGGGAGGGGCCCAGGAGCGGCGCCUCCAGACCAGCGAGGCAGGAGGGAGCCAGUUCUGUUGAGGCCAGGGCCCAUGGGCGCCAUCGGGAAGCUCACAGACUGCUCGGAUGCUCAGCAAAAUGCAGCGAAGGGCAGUCUGCCAGCUUCUGCUUUCAGUUUCAGGGGGAGCUCAUCUGCGGGCCUCGGAGCCAGGAGCCCCUCGUCCCUGUGGGGCUCAGGCCAGAACCGAGAUGUCAGUGCGCCCCCGUCCUCCCGUGCGCGCCGUGCGUCUCAGAGCCCCAGGGGCCCUGGGCAUCGUCAACAGCGGGCCGCUCCCCCCGCUGGUGUGGAAGGU
rnacentral:lncRNA from 1 species